rnacentral:rRNA from 1 species
GAUGAACGCUGGCGGCGUGCUUAACACAUGCAAGUCGAACGGGAAUUACUUUAUUGAAACUUCGGUCGAUUUAAUUUAAUUCUAGUGGCGGACGGGUGAGUAACGCGUGGGUAACCUGCCUUAUACAGGGGGAUAACAGUCAGAAAUGACUGCUAAUACCGCAUAAGCGCACGGAACCGCAUGGUUCUGUGUGAAAAACUCCGGUGGUAUAAGAUGGACCCGCGUUGGAUUAGCUUGUUGGUGAGGUAACGGCUCACCAAGGCGACGAUCCAUAGCCGGCCUGAGAGGGUGAACGGUCACAUUGGGACUGAGACACGGCCCAGACUCCUACGGGAGGCAGCAGUGGGGAAUAUUGCACAAUGGGGGAAACCCUGAUGCAGCGACGCCGCGUGAAGGAAGAAGUAUCUCGGUAUGUAAAAGCUCUAUCAGCAGGGAAGAAGAAAUGACGGUACCUGACUAAGAAGCACCGGCUAAAUACGUG